UACGAAGGGUGCAAGCGUUACUCGGAAUCACUGGGCGUAAAGCGCACGUAGGCGGCUUUUUAAGUCAGAGGUGAAAUCCUGGAGCUCAACUCCAGAACUGCCUUUGAUACUGGAGAGCUUGAGUCCGGGAGAGGUGAGUGGAACUGCGAGUGUAGAGGUGAAAUUCGUAGAUAUUCGCAAGAACACCAGUGGCGAAGGCGGCUCACUGGCCCGGUACUGACGCUGAGGUGCGAAAGCGUGGGGAGCAAACAGG
rnacentral:rRNA from 1 species